rnacentral:lncRNA from 1 species
GCGGGGGCUGCGGAGUGCUCCCUCCAAGACCGGUUGCACCCCGCUUUCCUGGCCAGGACUCUGGGCGCGGCAGCUACAAAGACGACGCCGGCUGCGCUCGCGGGACCAGAGGGAGGGAGGCUGCGGACGAGUGCGGGGAGGAGUUUGAGAUGGGAGGCGCUUGCAGGGGCUCCCCCAGUUCUGCGCUGUGAGCCGGGGCACAAAGAGCCCUCUGCACUAGCGCCGCAGGACCGCGGACCCGAGUUGGAGGCAUCUGUCCACCCAUGUGGUUCCAGACACGUUCAUGUGGCCACCAUGACCCCGUCGGCAUCACAGGGGUAACCAAGGUGAUCCUCCCUCUCUUCCUGUGUCCACUGGGGAUGGUAGAGACCAGCUUAAUGCUUUGAGAUCAGAUCCAUCACGAAAUCCGUAUGUCCUGAGACCUCCUGAAUCUUAAGAGAGCAGCAAGUUCCUGGGACAGAGGAGACAGAAGGGAAUUUCCAGGUUCUUCAGGACGUUCACAACCACACUGAGAAGCAUCUUUGCAGAUAAGUAUUUAAACUUACCAGCCCAUAGCCUACCAGCCUGCCCUCUUCUGGUCUGUGCAGGAAAGUGUAGUAUCCUAGAAUGCCAAAGUGGGAGGGGAAAUGGGUGAUGUAGCUCAUUCUCUUUUCUACCUCUAUGGAAGAAAGAAAGAGCCUGUCCCCAUUUUGUGGGGUCCCAGAAAGGGUGAUUUUCACACUUCACAUUUGGCGUUAGGGCUAGUAUUUCACAAACAUUACCGUCUGGAACUUUUGAAGGCUGAGUUAAAUGACUUCAUCUUGUGUACUUGUAGAACUGCUAUUAGAAGGAGGCUGGGGACUCCCUGAUGAUGUGAACCAGCCCUUCUCUUCUCAGUUUCAGCACUUUGUGAUCAUAUUUAUAAACCUUGGACAGGGCUCCUUGGCCUUAGAGUUAAGUGAAGAGUUAACACUGUGACUUUAGAUGCAUUUUUCUCAGUGUAAGUGUCUGAGCUCAUCUCCAGUUCUGGACUCGUGCCCCCACUCCCGGGUGCUGACAGCAAGCUCUGAAGAUAUGCUGAGAGAGCUCCCUGACUCUCCUGACUCAGGUCUGCCAGUUGAUGAAGACAGCACAGUUGUUACCAAAAACAAAACCUGGCAGAUGGUCCUAGGUCAGGAUUAGUGGUCAUUCUCUGGUCUUCUCCAGACUGGUGACACAGGGUGGUCUUAAAAGAGUCCUAGUCCAGCCUCUGGCUCCCCGAAUUUCCUCUGGUGCAUGGGGCAUCAGGAAAGGGCAGGGGAGAAGGAGGGGGAGCAGAAAAAUAACUGAGGCUGGGCAGAAGGGUCCCUUCCAUUUCCCAUCCAUUGCUUCAAACAAUGGGUGAUUACCGUGCACCUUGAGUGAAUGUCAAGGCAGGAAGGGUUCCAGGGCCACCCAGUGUGGCAGGAGCAGAGCUGGGAUCAGAAUUCUGGAUUCCUGACUCUCCGUUCAGCUGCUAUUCAGCUAUCACCAAGCUGCUGAGUUUGUCCUACUUUCUCCUGGGUCACAUUCUGCUGUUGUUGGGAAACAGGGAGUGAGUGAAGGGAACCUGGGAACCCUUCUCCCCUCACCUUUUAAGGAUGUUCUGGGGUGGAAUAAAGAGAGGUGGAGGGUGGGGUGCCUGGGCCCAGCCUCCCUGGCUCCUGGUCCUUCUUUCUUCAGCAGGGAGUUCUGGCAAGGCCUGGGCCUGGGGAGGGGGCCUGGGUGCAGUUUUCUCCUGCGGUGUGGUUGGCUCUUUUGUCUUCCAGGAUGGGCCUGUGGGGUCUGUGUGGGGAAGGAAGGAGCUGGGAGCCUGGGCUGCCUGUGUGUCGGCUGGAUGCUGCCAGCACCGGCAUGGACCAAGCAACUUCUCUGAGCCAGAUGCUGGGGACGCAGAGGUGAACCCAGAGACAUGAUCCCAUCUGCUCAGAUCUUCAUGUCAGAACACGCUUUAUUACAGUCUCGGCAAGGGGGUGGCUCCAUCUGGGCCGCAUCUCCAGGACUCCUGGCCUGGACUUCUCUUUGGACCUCGGGUGACCUUGGAUUCUGGCCACAGUGACUUAGCGGUCAGACUCCGGUGGUUUUCUAGCCCGCUGGGUGACUCCCUGAAGAUCUCAUCCUCUUCACACCUGUUGGGAUGGAGCCUCCCAUGGAUAGGAACUCUUCCUGGUUGAUGCUCAGCAGAUGACUGAUCUGGCUCUGGAGGACAGCUCCAGGGAAUGCGGAGUGGUGUGUACUAUUCAUCAGCUUGGGCUGCCACAGCACCAUGCCAGACUGGAUGGCUUAAACAUCAGGAAUUUAUUUUCUGCCAGUUCUGGAGGCUGGAAAGUCCAGAUCAAGGUGUUAAGACUUGGUUUCUGGUGAGGCCUCUCUCCUUGGCUUGCAGGUGGCACCUUCUCACUAUGUCCUCACAUGGCCUUUUCUCUGUGGAGAGGGACAGAGAGCAUGAGCAGGCUCUGGUGUCUCCUCCUCUUCUUAUAAAGACACUAAUAUCACCAUAUUAGGGCUUAAACCUAUGACCUCAUUUAACCUUAACCCCUUAAAGGUCCCAUCUCCAAAAACAGUCACAUAGCAGGCUACUGCUUCAACAUAUGCAUUUGGGGGAGGGGACACCAUUCAGUUCUUAACAGGGUGGUCACCGCAAACAUGGAAAGUCAGAGCCUUCUCCCCUUCAGAAUUCCCGCCCCCACCCAGGGAUGGGGAGGAGGAGCAGAGAGGUAUGGGAAGCAGACACGGAGAGUGGCAGGUACCAUGCUGGGGUGGCUCAGGAGUGCUUCGGAGGACAUAUGGAACUGGCAGGGCUCAGUGCAGGGAGGCGGAGGCCCUGGGAGAGCCGUGUCCUGAGAAGGGCCUGGGCUACAACCCUGGGCAAGUUACUUCACCUCUGAGCCUCCGAUGCUCUGUGAAAUGGAAGGAAUGUGCUUGCCUGUCAGGUGCAGGGAGAAUUCAGUGAGAUUGUGUGCCUAGCACAGUGCCUGACUCCCAGUAGGUGCUCAGCAAAUGCUCCCAUCCAUCUGGGAGUAUAGACUUAGGGUUUAUCUAUUUUUUUUUUUUUUUGGCUCUCUGGACUUUAAAACUCAGCAUCUUCUGAACCAGAGGCAUUUCUGAUUAGCCCUUCCCUACCUAUUUUCCUAGUAUCACUCUUUAAUCAGCUUGGGGAGGUGGCAGCAUUUCAUGGCCUCCGUAGUAACUCACAAUGCUUCCUGGGGUAUUUAAAUUCUACUCUCUCAUCAGCACUGAGCACCUACUUUGGGCCCUUUCCCGUGCUAGCCAUUUGGGGGAAAUAUAGGUGAAGAGUGGCUGGGGUUUGAACCUUUAGGAUUUCACAGCCAUGCUGGAUGGGAUAAAACCAGCUCACAUGGAGAAUCAGAGAAUGGGACAGUGCCACAAAACAGUCUACUGAGGCACAAGUUCUGAGUGCCUGGGAAGUGGUAGAGAGACCCCAGAGAGGGCUGCUGCAGUCUGGAACAGCUUCCUAGCAAGCUGUACCAAACAGGGCCUUGAAGGAUGAGAAAGAUCUGGCUGAGAUGAUACCCGACCCUCUAGGGAAAUUCUUAAAGUAACUUCUAGGAAAUGUCAUUGCUCCUUAAAAAAAAAAAAAAAAAAAAAAAAGCAGGUUCUAAUUCAAAUUCCGCUGCACUACUGAAGUAGUGCAGGACUUAUCAGAACCUUUAAAAUGCUAAUGGCAAUUUCAAAUACUCAGGGACAGGGCAUAGGAUGAAGUGUUCCUUGACUUUUAUGGCCGUAGAAUCUUUUUCUCAUGGAACAUCGUUUAGAACUGUGGGAGAUGCUAGGCUGGGGUUUCUAUGGGAAAAGUACAGCAGUGAUAGAAGAUGGCAUAAUUAGGGUACACUUAGGUGCUUUGUAGCAUUGGCUGAAAAGGAAGCAGACCGGGUGGGCGUGGGGGAGUCUCAACUUGGUUCCAGGAGCCAGGCCAGCUUGAUGCGUUUUUUUUUUUUCUAAUGGUGGGAGGGCAGGCCAAUAGUUGGAGAAACUAGAGGCCUGACAGUCGGUGAUGGAAGAGAUGUCUACUAAGCACGGUUGUCAGAUCUUUUGCGGAGAGAUGCGGGUGUGCGUGUGUCUGUCAGAGUGUAACAGGAUCCAGCCCUCUGGGAAGGGGCUGACCAGAACCAGGCAGGGGGUUUCUGUCUAGGACAAGUAGGGUCCAUUUUCAGGGGAGCUGAAAUAUUUGCAGGGGGUGCUCUGAGACCCACAGCCAAUAAAUAGGGAAGCAACAUGCUUUUGGGCAGGGUCCAUGUGGUUAGGGUUGAUUUUGAUGGGGCUGGGGGGCUUAGAGUUAGACCCCCUGCCCUGGUCAGGCCCCACUCCCUGGCUGGUGGGGGCGGGAGGCCUCUGAAGCUGCAGCUGGAGGGGCCGGGGCAGUGUUGCAUGGUGUGAUUAACCUACUAACCCAGGGCUCAGCCGGGACGCUGUGGCGUGUGACGAGGUGCCUGGCCUUCUGCCAACCAACUAACCCACUAACCAGGCCCGAGCAUGCCCUACUAACCACCCCCCCGCAGCCAGAUCCUACUAACUGUGCAGCUCAUGGGCCUUUCAAGGGGCUGGGAUAUGGGGGCAGCCAAGGCUCCAGAAGGCUCUGCCUAUGGGCUGGGAUCUUUGUGCAGACCCACGUUCCAGGACAGAGAAUGCAAAUAAGACUCACCAACUCUGCCACUUCCUGUUGAGUGAGUUUGAGUAAGUCACCUCACUUCUCUCAACCUCAGUUUCCUCAGUGGUAGAAUGCGAGUUCUGAUACCUUACAGGAAGGCCCCUCAAACCUGGUUGAA